CCAAGCCCGGUUGAGAAAAGAGGAGGGUUGGGUGUAGGGCUAGCAACCCCACCCAUUAAAAACCUUUUUGCUAUAGAAACAACAGCAAGGAAAAAAUCCCGGCAGAGGGAGGGAAGCAGGCCAGGCAACUGGACUAGACGAAAGGAAGUCCUCAGCCCGAUAGCCGAUCUCCUGACGCCAAAAUGCCACAUUAGAGUUGGAAACUGGAAUGUGCGAACAUUGCACCAAGCCGGAAGGUUAGCACAGACCGUAAGCUAGUUAAACAGAAACAAUCUGAGUCUACUCGGAAUCACGGAGGCAAGAUAGACAAAGAUGGGGAAACAGAAGCUGAGCAGUGAGGAAGUGAUCAUCUGGUCAGGUAGAUAGGACGAUGUUCAUCAAGAAGGAGUGGCCUUACUCAUCAACAAGAAGUACACCAAUACUUUGCUGCAGUGGAACCCCAUUAAUGAACACCUGUUGUAUAUGAGGCUGAACUCAAAGUAUGCCAAGCUGUCCAUUCUUGUGGCCUAUGCCCACACAACAAUGCUGAAGAAGAAGAAAAGGACCAGCUCUACAGCGCACUGCAGGGAGCACUUGAGGACAUCCCGAAACACGACGUGUUCCUCCUACUGGGAGACCUCAACACAAAAGUUGGCAGCGAUAACACAGGCAGAGAGAGGGUCAUGGGGCAGCAUGGAGUUGCAGAUUGCACUGACAACGGGAAGAGGCUCAUUGACUUCUGUGAACAGAACGACCUGGUCAUUGGUGGAACACUCUUUCAGCAUAAAACCAUUCACAAGCUUACUUGGACUUCACCUGAUGGGAAAACCCAGAACCACAGUCUACUUCUGGCGAAGCUGACACUCAAGUUGAGGAAGGCAAAGAUCGGAGACAGUAGAAAUCAAUGCUUCGAUGUGGCCAAGCUGAAAGACCCAGCUAUAAGGAAGGAUUUCUGCAUUGCUCUGAAGAAUCGCUUCAGCAUCCUUCAGGAUGACGCAGCACUGACCAUCGAUAGCUUCAACCAAGCUAUGACUGAGGCAGCAAAAGAAACCGUCGGAUACAAGAAGAGUGGAUAUCCAAGGACACGUGGAAAGCCAUAGGAGAAAGAAAACAGAUCAAGAAGAAGCUGCUUGACACCAAGUCACUAAGGUUGAAUGAGAAAAUCUCAGCUCAGUACAGAGAGAAGGACAAAGAAGCGAAGACUUCAGCAAGACGAGACAAACAGCAGUAUGUCGAACAUCUUGCAGAAGUAGCAGAAAAAGCAGCAGAACAGAAUGACAUGAAAACUUUGUACAUGAUCACAAAGAAGCUAAGGGGCUAGAAAGGACAGAACCAGGACAUACCAGUAAAGGCAGCAGAUGGAACUCUCAUCACAGAAUAACGCGCUAAGCUAGAGAGGUGGAGGGAACAUUUCAAGACCAUCCUGAACUGGCCAGAUCCACCAGCGCUUGCUGACAUACCAGAGGCAGAAGAGGAUUUGGACAUCAACAUUGGUGACAUUAGAGUAGUAAAGAUCAGGGAAGCCAUUAACAAGCAGAAGAACGGCAAGGCUCCAGGACUGGAUGGUGUGUGCCCUGAGAUGCUCAAGGCAGAAGUACAGGAGACUCCCAGAUCCUUCUGCGCAUCCUACAGGACUUUUGGGAGAAAGAGACAGCCCCAGAGACCUGGAAAAGUGGCAAUCAUCAUCAAGCUUCCCAAGAAGGGGGAUCUUGGGGACUGCAACAAUUGGCGAGGCAUCACCCUACUCUCUCUCACCAGCAAGAUCUUCAGCCAUAUCAUACUGCAGCACAUCAUAGCAGCGGUGGAUGACAUUCUUCGACAAGAACAGGCUGGUUUCAGGAAAGGACGGUCAUGCAUUGACCACAUCUUCAUUCUACGCCAGAUCCUAGAACAGCCACCCAAGGAAAGCGUCAAGGCAUACUGUGGACACUGACCUCACUUCUGGAGGACCUGGACUAUCACAGGUUGCUUUUUAGAAGGAAAACACUGAAAGUAAGUGUUUUAUCUCAUUUACAAUAUGUAUUUUAUAACAUAUAGAUUUACAGUGAUAUUUAUAAACGGUCCGAAACUUUCCUUUGACUCGCGGUGCAGACAAGGAGGUUUUAACAGAGAGAACACUGAAGCGUUCAGUCUUAUUUACAUAUGUAUUUUAUGACGUUAUAUUAUUUUAUGAAGAUAUUUUUGUGCUGUGCAGUCCUAAACUUUUCUCAUAGACAUAAUUUUCUUUGACUCGUGAUACUGAGAAGACGAAGAUGUUGCUUUUUGUAAAACACCAAAAAGAGACAUUUGCUUUGAUUCACGAUGUGGAGCAGGCAAAGAGGUUCCAAUUAUCAACAAGACACCUAAAAUGGUUCAUGCUGGAAUAACUGAAAAAUCAAAAAGAAAUGUGUUUGAGUAUAAAAUCAUCAGUACAUUGUCAAGUUGGAUGAAAAGAGCUCUUGUUAACAUUUUUAGGACACAUAACAGACAUGGGUUGAUGCUGGAGGGAAUUAACAAAGCAUCAGGGAACAUCUGCAUGUAAUGAAGGAGGAAACAGAGAAGUUUAGACCAAACGUAGAACUCCUCAAAGAAAGGAUAGCACUGAUAAAAUGCUACCGGACAAAUUUUGUGUCCAAAUAUAGCACGGAGGAGACUCUCUGAGUUCUUUUGUUUCAUACUGGCCAAAAUGCUCAGUACAGUAGUGUGUUAUUACCUCCUUAUUUAAUUGUAUGAGUUAUGACUAUAUUUUAAUACGUCUUUUCUCCUUUGCCUUCCUCUUAACAUACUUUUGGAUCUGUGAGACCACGCCAAUGUUGAUGUGGACCAACAAAUUCUCACACAGCUCUCUGUAAUGACACCCCGAGUCCUUCAAGUUUCACAGAGUCCCCUGAAGAAGUUCAGGUGCAUGAUUGAUGACUGUGAAGAUUGCAGACUGAAAAAAGGCCUACAGUUGGAAGCAGCUAUUCUGCUCUUGCCUGUUCUGCUCAAGGAGGACCCGGGGUUGAUGUUUGAAGUUGAGGGCCAUUCUCAGACCAGCCCAUCCCAACACCUAAGAUGAAGCUUAAAGGCUGUAGGGAGGGUCAUCUUGUGCAGUAUGACCACAUUGUGCUCACGUUGGAUGGACAGUUAAUCACGGAGGAGAUGAAGGACAUCUCGACAGCACUGGGACUCCUCCUGUAGCAGCGGUUCUCAAUUCUAGUCCCGACCUGCCCCCACAUGUUGUACAUGUCUCACUUAUUUAACACACCUGAUUCAGAUCAUGAGCUCGUUAGAAAAGAGCUCCAUGAAUUAACUGUGUUCUGACUGACAUGGUUCCUACACGGAACAUUCAUUCACAGAUUUACACUACUUCCUGUCACUGUAAGUCAAUAUUCUCUAUUUCUGGGCCUCUUCCAAGUCUAGUUGCAGUUUCUAUUGUUUUUUUUAAAUCCUGAAGGACUUACAAAAAUGUUAGUAUGCUGUUGACAGUGAAAAAGUGAAAGAUACUGCAGUACUUCAGAGUGUACAACUUAGUUUGCAAGUGGUUGUGUAUUAUUAAUUUUCAGUAAUUUCACUCACUCACUAUUAAUAUUAAAAAGACUAGAUUUUCCAAAUAAAUUAAAGAACUAAUGUAGGCCUAAGACCGUAGGCGAAAAAGUUACCUGAUUACAGGGCUACGGUAUAUAUAUGUAAACCAGGACUCUCUCUUCUUUAAAAAUGUACAUAUUUCAAGCUUGUUGCAUUAUUUUGUAUGUGUAUAAAACAACAACUCCCCGUAUGUUGUGAUGUUGUAUAUGUAUAUU